UUAAAUUGAAGAGUUUGAUCAUGGCUCAGAUUGAACGCUGGCGGCAGGCCUAACACAUGCAAGUCGAACGGUAACAGGAAGCAGCUUGCUGCUUCGCUGACGAGUGGCGGACGGGUGAGUACUGUCUGGGAAACU
rnacentral:rRNA from 1 species